AUUACCUCAGUAGCGGCGAGCGAAGCGGUAACAGCUCAAAUUUGAAAUCUGGCCCUCCCAGGGCCCGAGUUGUAAUUUGGAGAAGAUGCUUUGGGUGCGGCCCGGGUCUAAGUUCCUUGGAACAGGACGUCAGAGAGGGUGAGAAUCCCGUAUGUGACUGGGUGCCCGCGCCCGUGUAAAGCUCUUUCGACGAGUCGAGUUGUUUGGGAAUGCAGCUCAAAAUGGGUGGUAUAUUUCAUCUAAAGCUAAAUACGGGCCAGAGACCGAUAGCGCACAAGUAGAGUGAUCGAAAGAUGAAAAGCACUUUGGAAAGAGAGUUAAACAGUACGUGAAAUUGUUGAAAGGGAAGCGCUUGCACCCAGACUUGCGCCUGGCGGAUCAUCCGGUGUUCUCACCGGUGCACUCCGUCGCGCGCAGGCCAGCAUCAGUUGGGGUGGUUGGAUAAAGGCCAGGGGAAUGUGACUCCCCUCGGGGAGUGUUAUAGCCCUUGGUGCCAUGCAGCCUACCCCGACUGAGGACCGCGCUUCGGCUAGGAUGCUGGCGUAAUGGUUGCAAGCGACCCGUCUUGAAACACGGACCAAGGAGUCUAACAUCUAUGCGAGUGUUUGGGUGUCAAACCCAUACGCGGAAUUAACGUGAACGGAGGUGAGACCCCUUCAGGGUGCAUCAUCGACCGAUCCUGAUGUCUUCGGAUGGAUUUGAGUAAGAGCAUAGCUGUUGGGACCCGAAAGAUGGUGAACUAUGCCUAAAUAGGGUGAAGCCAGAGGAAACUCUGGUGGAGGCUCGCAGCGGUUCUGACGUGCAAAUCGAUCGUCAAAUUUGGGUAUAGGGGCGAAAGACUAAUCGAACCAUCCGUGAAGGUGUUACAGCGCUAGGUGGUUAAGAAGGCUCUGAAAAUUGCACUUAGUCUCUGGCUAGAAGGCAACAUUAUCAAACUGUUCGGGGACGUCCUGUUAUUUCCAAGCUACCGCACUCGCCUCGAAAGAGCGUGCUGUGCACCCAGUUAGC
rnacentral:rRNA from 1 species